UACAGAGGUCCCAAGCGUUGUUCGGAUUCACUGGGCGUAAAGGGCGCGUAGGCGGCCUUCUAAGUCAGACGUGAAAUCCCCAGGCUUAACUUGGGAACUGCGUCUGAUACUGGGAGGCUUGAGUGCGGGAGAGGGAUGUGGAAUUCCAGGUGUAGCGGUGAAAUGCGUAGAUAUCUGGAGGAACACCGGUGGCGAAGGCGGCAUCCUGGACCGGUAUUGACGCUGAGGCGCGAAAGCCAGGGGAGCAAACGGG
rnacentral:rRNA from 1 species